UACGUAGGUGGCAAGCGUUGUCCGGAAUUAUUGGGCGUAAAGCGCGCGCAGGCGGUCCUUUAAGUCUGAUGUGAAAGCCCACGGCUCAACCGUGGAGGGGCCAUUCGAUACUGCCGUGACUCGAGUCCGGUAGGGGAGUGUGGAAUUCCCGGUGUGAGCGGUGGAAAUGACGCAGAGAUCGGGAGGAACACCCGUAGCGAAGGCGGCACUCUGGGCCGGUACUGACGCUGAGGAGCGAAAGCGUGGGAGCGAACAGG
rnacentral:rRNA from 1 species